AGGAUCUGGUCUGAUGCCCUUUUUCCCAAUGACAUGUCCAAAGUACUGAAUGUCUGAUUUACCAAACUGGCAUUUUUCUCGAUUUAACUUCAGCCCAGACUCCCCCACUAAACAUUAGACGUCUUAUGGACGUGAAGAUCAUGUCUAUAUUGCGUCGGUCGGUCCAAGACCAAUUCUGUACGUCUACACGACGUGCAAACUAGGUCCGCUAUUUGGACGUCUAACUAUGACCCCACUUGGACGUCAAUAUGCAGUUAAACAUUUGAACGUCGGACUAGGUCACUUUUUUGGACGUCAUGGGGACGUCUAAUACAGGUGCAGGAAAUUAACAUUAUUUAAGAAUAUAUUUAUUUUUAAAUGUAUGUCAAAAUUGUUGUUAUCAAUAUUGUUAAUCACUAUGAAUAUAGAUUAUUUAUGAUUAAGCAUCAUUUAUUUCUAAUUAUUUAUUUGAGUAUUAUAUUUUUUAUCUAUUUAAUUAAUUAACGAAUGUAGGUAUUUAUUUACGUAUGUUUUUAUUUUUAUUUGGAAAUGCAAUUUAUGUGGAAAAUUGUUAAGUUGAUUUCAACCAGUCAACGCCACUCUGAUUUGCUGAGACCGCACGUCAUCAUAAACUCCACUCUGAUAUGCCGAGGCAAAACACGCUAAACAUUUUUUGGCUGCUGCAGUAGCUCAGCUCAGCUCAGCUCGUUCAGUUCAGCUCAGCUCAGCUCCGCUCCGGACCGGACUCAGCUGCCACUAAGCUAUAAGAUGGAGUCAUGAAAUGUGACGGGACAGCCACCGAGGACUUCAUACUUCGGAGCAUCUCAAACAUGCACCACAAAGACGUGGAGGACACACCGCUGUCUCUCAGGACCUAGAAUCUUAAUGAAAGUAUAAUGAUGUUAAGGGAAGGUGUAAUGGAAAGGUGUAAUGUAAAGUUGUAAUGGUGUUAAGGGAAGGUGUAAUGUAAAGGUGUAAUAGUGUUAAGGGAAGGUAUAAUAUUGUUAAGGGAAGGUGUAAUGUUAAAGGUGUAAUAGUGUUGAGGGAAGGUGUAAUAGUGUUGAGGGAAGGUGUAAUAGUGUUGAGGGAAGGUGUAAUAGUGUUGAGGGAAGGGGUAAUGUUAAAGGUGUAAUAGUGUUAAGGGAAGGUAUAAUAUUGUUAAGGGAAGGUGUAAUGUUAAAGGUGUAAUAGUUUUGAGGGAAGGUGUAAUAGUGUUGAGGGAAGGUGUAAUGUUAAAGGUGUAAUAGUGUUAAGGGAAGGUAUAAUAUUGUUAAGGGAAGGUGUAAUGUAAAGCUGUAAUAGUUUUAAGGGAAGGUAAAUGUUUAGUGAAAUUGUUAUGGUGUGAAUCUAAGGUGUAUGUUAUGUUGAUGUAAAAUAAAGGCAUUAACCCCAAAUGA